GGGUGGUUUACUGCUUUUUUUCUUUGCAUGAUUGUGUUUAUUGGGUGCAAUAUAACAUGUCUCUGUGUUUUUUUUGUUGUUUUUUUAAGCCUUAUUUUCAUAAAUUUCACCUUUAUUGUAAGCCGCUUUCUCCUCUGUCAUUUGAACGACCGGUUGACUUCCUGAUUCUAUGAAACCACUCCCUCAGAAACAGGCAAUGGGCUCAGAUUGGUUAGUUGGGCCGGUGUGUUGUAAUUGGCUAAACUGUGUAGUGCAUGUUGUCUGGAAACUUCACGCCCAUUACCUUUACGGGCGAAAGUUGCAUGUGCUCCGGUCAAAUGUAAAUAAUGGUGUCGAUACUGCCGUAUCAAAGAAGUUUGAGCCAGAAUCAGACCCAGAAAGCGGCGAUGAAGAGAGUCAAGCAGAACCUCCCCAAACACGGCUCUUACAAAACGUUUCUGAAUGGUAAAUUU